AACGAACGCUGGCGGCAUGCCUAACACAUGCAAGUCGAACGAGACCUUCGGGUCUAGUGGCGCACGGGUGCGUAACGCGUGGGAACCUGCCCUUAGGUUCGGAAUAACUCCCCGAAAGGGGUGCUAAUACCGGAUAAUGUCUUCGGACCAAAGAUUUAUCGCCUUUGGAUGGGCACGCGUUGGAUUAGCUAGUUGGUAGGGUAAAAGCCUACCAAGGCGACGAUCCAUAGCUGGUCUGAGAGGAUGAUCAGCCACACUGGGACUGAGACACGGCCCAGACUCCUACGGGAGGCAGCAGUGGGGAAUAUUGGACAAUGGGCGAAAGCCUGAUCCAGCAAUGCCGCGUGAGCGAUGAAGGCCUUAGGGUUGUAAAGCUCUUUUACCCGGGAUGAUAAUGACAGUACCGGGAGAAUAAGCUCCGGCUAACUCCGUG
rnacentral:rRNA from 1 species